CCAUAUGACACUUCUUCCCUAUUGACAGAGCUUUACAACUCGAAAGCCUUCAUCACUCACGCGGCGUCGCUGCAUCAGGGUUGCCCCCCAUUGUGCAAAAUUCCUC
rnacentral:rRNA from 1 species